UCGUAUAAGGAAACGGGUGUUUUUCUACGGGCAAUUUCAGAUGCUCCACUAGUCUCCUUGCUACGAAAUUCUCACAACUCCCAUUGUCCACAAUCAAAUUGCAUACCUUCUUAUUAAUCGAGCAUUGGGAACGAAAGAUACUAUUUCGUUGGCUUAGUUGCCUUGCCGAACAAAGAACACGUUGCACUACGCAAUUAACCUGUUCUCCUUUCUCGUGACUAUGAUACUCGGUCUCCUCGUCCUCUUCACUUUUGUCAAUUUCAUAACCCUCGUGCUCACUAUCGUCUCUCUUUUCCGGAUCAUCCACUAGAUUCAAUGCUCUUC
rnacentral:lncRNA from 1 species